CCUUCUCUUUCAAAUCAGAGGAAUAAUUGAAGCACUAUUGUUAUUAGGUCGUCAUUAAACGUCUGGUAGAAAGGCUGCAUUAAAGCCUAGUGGCCCUCAUAUAUAUUUUUUAAUUUUUGUAGUGGCAUCGUUUAAAUCUAUUUUCUUAUGAGAAUAAUCUUAUGAGUUAAAUCCCACAUUUGGAUUUAACUUGGUAUUUGUUAUCUGUGUAGAAAAAUUACCAAUAUCAAAUAGAUUUUUCACUUUUCUAUAGUGAAGGACUCUGAAGAAGCCCUAAUGAUUGUUGAAUUCACUCACAUGUCUAUUGCUUCAUCCCCCUUUUCAUUUCUGAUUUGAUAAUUUAGGUAUUGACACUGUGGUGUGUACUUAGUUUCAGAAAGGGGUUGUUUCUCUUAUGGAUCUCCUCAAAAAACAGCUCUUGCUUCCUAUGACUCUUUGUAUUAUCCUCUUCGUUUGUAAUUGAAUGAUUUUAGUACUAAGUUUAUUUCCUGCCAUCAAAUCAUACCAGACUCUCUGUAGGAUAAGGCUUUGCCUCAUCUUGGUAACAGCGGCAUGUGAUAAAUGAAGCUUUUGCUGCUCUCUCGUGGUGAUGACGUCACAAUCUCUGUGUAAACCAUCCACAGCCUGUUUUUAGGCUGUAUUAUAGUAGACCACCAUUUCAGUGUUACCUGCCAGGUGCCGUGGGACACUAGUAACACACGUCUGCAUGCACCUCGACAGUUUUCAUUACAGUCUUCUAAGUCAUUUUAUGAAAAUUGAUAGUGAGUUCAUGGAUGAACAUACACAAACAUCUGCACAGAAACACAAACAAACACAAACUCUCUCUCUCUCUCUCACUCUCUCUCUCUCUCUCUCACACACACACACACACACACACACACACACACACACUUUACUGACAUGGUACACGUUCUUUGCACACCAAAAAUAAAGUGAGCAGUAAUGAAAAUACACCAAUAAUGGAGUCAAUGGAGGGAGUUAUGCAGAAGCUGGGACUUAGAGUUACUUAAAGGCCCUAUGCAGGCUCUCCUUUUGUUGGAGGAGAAAUUUCAAGUGCAAUGUGGUUCUUUAUUUUCUUUCUCUAAAGCACACAGGCUAUGGUGGAAUGUAGGGCUUUGACCAUGUUUGGAAAGUACAAUCACACUGAAUUAAAUCCUAGGGCUGGAACCCUAUUACUCUUCUACAAAAUUACAGACCAGGCUGGAUGAAUACUCCCAGGAGACAAUGUGGACAUCUCAAGACAGGCACUGGACAAUGGCUGAAGACUUGUCUGAAGACUGGAAAUAUUUUGAAAAUUCAGAGAGAAAAAAAAGGCCCCUCUGACUACACCGUACUCUAAGGACAGUUUAUGCAGGUUAGGAUGACAUGAACUAUUGUCUCAUGUCACAAAUGUCAGCACAAAGUAUCCAAGGUAUUGUAUGCCAAUGGUAGCAUCAACAGAACAAAGCACACAGUGUCAUGAAGACAUAAAUUAUGAGUUUGUGUAGCAAGACCCAGGCCUCUUCCAGGUUCUUAGAUAGUAACUGAGAACCUCAAAUACGGUGGUGAUGUGAUAGUGUGGGGGGAAUCUAGUUACAACUAGCUUCUAUUGUGACACAGAUGACUCUUUUGUGUCAUGUUCAGCUUAUACUGAAUGAAUAGACCCAAGCAUGAGAAUAACCAAAUACUACAUUGCUUCUCUAGCUGCUGAGCUUUUAAAAGCCCUGGGGUGACAGCAAGCUUUUGUGGACAUACUGGAUUGGUCCUUGUGUACUUUAACUCCUGAGUCACCUCCAUUCUCAGUAAGUUAGUUCAAUUCCAUAAAUUGGAAAUCAGUCACUUGGAAAAAAUACAUUCUCAAUACGAUCCCAGAUUGGCCAUGGAAAAAGGGUAGCUUGAACUGUCCCACCUAGGUUCUGGGCCUGCACAGGCCUGCUCUCCAACAGAAACCUGUGUUCACAGCUGCAGGCUGCAUUCACUAUGGGUGUCCUUGAGGUUCUUCCCUAAACUGCUUAGAUUAAAAUAAUUUUCAUGCUAACAAUCAAAAAACUCAUUAUGCCAAUCUGGCCAACAGGAAGCUAAUUUCGAUCUGUAUUUUGUCAGAUGUGCAGAAUAAAUAUGGUCAUCAUUGAUAAUAGGUGAAAGAUCUGCUCUAAUAUGGACACUAAGUGAUGUUGCAGGAUGAUCCUGACCCACAAUGAGCAGUGGGAACACCAGAGCCCUGUAGGGAUGGCUGGCAAGCUAACACAUUGAGCAUGCACAGCUCAGUAAAUUUCCUGUGAAUACACAUCUCCUGAGAUCUCUUUAUUUGAUUGGAGGUGAUCCUGUCCACCUAAUACAGUACAUGAUGUGGAAGGACAAAAGCACCUGCAGGAGCUGUGGUGAUGACUCACAGGGUAGAGCAUCUGCUGCUCUCUCAGAAGAACCACAUGGACCCUAACAAUUGGGUAAAGCAUGUCAGUGAUUACUUCAUAAAGUGUGUGUCCGAGAAACAGCCACAUUAUCCACACAAAAGACACUGUCACACUGGGUACCCCUUGGUGACUUUGAAUUCACUAAUUAGCCCAGGAUCCAUGGAACAUGCAGAGAUCCAUCUCCACCUGUCAGUUCUAAGUCCACAGGAGGGGACAGAACCCUUGAAUAAGAAUGAUGGUCUUAAGAGUCAAGAGAUAGAAUUCAAUUUUUAUUCAUAAGGAAUUCAUUUUUACAACAAAACAGGAUUAAAACAAAUAAAUUAAAAUAUUUAAAAAUAUUUGAAAAGAUAAAAACAGUAACAAGAACAUAUAAAUAUGAAACAACAAAAAGAAAAUUUCAAUUAAAAUCAUAACGAAAAUAUUUCUAAACAGCACAUUCUUAAUGAACAUUUAGAAGCACAGAUGUAUUGCUGUUUCUCCUCUUGCACACAUAAUGAAAGGAGGUCCCCCAAGUUGUCUCUCAAGUGCUGUUUUCUGAGAAGAAAGUAAGACCUCAAUCAGUCAGGCUGGCUUAGUGGUAUAUAAAUUUAGGGUCUCUAAGCAAUGACAAAUUAACUCUGAGGAAGAAUACUCAUCCAAAAAAUUUGUUACCAUUCAGGAUAUUUGUCAUCAGGGACUCCUGAGAAAGCAACUUAUUCUUCAGGAAGCUUUCUUACUGCUGUGUGUCCAAUUCCAGCUCUCUUGCACUUUCUGAGACCUGGGAGAGGAAGGCAGUUUUUCAGACACUGAUUUGGUGGUGAAAUGCAAGGCAGCUGUCGGAAGGCUGCCUACUACCAUCUCAGUUCUAUUGGACAGUCAACAUGGACCUUUUAACUGAUAUCAUUGUUGCUAACUCUUUGGGAAGGGCAAAAUCUCCAGAGAGCCUCAAAGUAAUGUGGGCUGCCAAUAUGGGACCCAGACUUAUACCAGUGCAAACCAAGAACAGGGCAAUGGAAGGAACCUCAUUGGGUUGGCAGGAAGAAAGUAGAUGUUCAUAUGUCACCAAGGUUAAAACCAAUGACAAGUACUAAUUUGACAUUUGCACUUUGUUCUUAUCCCGCAAAGGUGCUUCCUACACAAGAAGUCACAUGACCACAGAGUGUCAUUUGUCAAAGAACCAAGAACUUGUUCAAAACUCUACAGAGCAUCCAAUCUAUCACGUGGAUAUGCAAUAAUGAGCAGCCUGCAGACAGACGUCAUCCCCUGAAAAUGUCCUAAACAAGGUGCAGGCCAACGAGGAAGAGGAGAGGCUGAAUAGAGAACUGGA